GAUGAACGCUGGCGGCGUGCCUAAUACAUGCAAGUCGAGCGAAGCGGGGACGGGUGAGUAACACGUGGAUAAACUCCUUUAAGACUGGGAUAAAUUCGGGAAACCGGUGCUAAACCGGCUACUUAUCGAUUGAUCCGCGCUGUAUUAGCUAGUGGGUAAGGUAACGGCUUACCAAGGCAACGAUGCAUAGCCGACCUGAGAGGGUGAUCGGCCACACUGGAACUGAGACACGGUCCAGACUCCUACGGGAGGCAGCAGUAGGGAAUCUUCCGCAAUGGGCGAAAGCCUGACGGAGCAACGCCGCGUGAGUGAAGAAGGUCUUCGGAUCGUAAAACUCUGUUAUUAGGGAAGCGGUACCUAAUCAGAAAGCCCCGGCUAACUACGUGCCAGCAGCCGCGGUAAUUC
rnacentral:rRNA from 1 species